AAAAUGCGAUACGUAAUGCGAAUUGCAGAAUUCAGUGAAUCAUCAAAUCUUUGAACGCAAAUUGCGCUCUCGGGAUAGGCCUGAGAGCACGCCUCUUUGAGCAUCGAUUCUACCACAAGUCGACGACGUCCUUGCAAAAGGAUGUGCAGUCGGACAUUGAGCCUUGCCGGCCGUUCGCGGCUAAGCUGGCUUCAAAUAGAGCGAGAUACACAGCGAUCCUUCUGACACAUCAGGAGUGAUUUGUGACGUGGAUAACUUCACUACUCGUGAACCUUCCAAUACGUGACAGUCUCUCAUUCAACUGGUGUGCCAGUGGAAAGCAACGCGUGUCGGACCGUCAUUCGUGACAACUCUUUUGAAUUAGAUCUCAAAUGAAGCGAGAAAACCCGCUGAACUUAA
rnacentral:misc_RNA from 1 species